rnacentral:tRNA from 1 species
GUUUCUGUAGUUGAAAAACAACGAUGAUUUUUCAUGUCAUAGGUCGUGGUUUAGUCCAUGUGGAAAUU